GUAAAAAUGCAUUUUAGGUGCGGCACCACAGUGCGGAGCACCAUGACUGGCUAUAAGCCGCACCUGAUUGACUUUUAAAAAUCUAUCUAGCAAUUUCACUAGAGUAUUAAUUAAGGGCUGUCCUCUGUGGUUCGCUAAGCAAACUGUGAAUGUUCGGACACACAUGCAAAUCGAAGGUUAAGUCUUUUGACCCGCUGCACCUUUGGAGCCCGCCAUCGGCUUUAUUUGAGUUGUCGAUAUGCGACAUGGCUGUGUUUUAUUUAUGAAUUGCGCCUCGCACAAGCUGGCACCAUAUGAAUUAAUUGGUAUCGGACGACUAUUCAAUGCCUAGAGUUUUUCUAAACAAAUCGUUAAUAAAUAUAGUAGCUGGUGGCUGGUGGCUGGUGGCUAGUGGCCAAAACAAAAAACUUAUGCCCGCAUACAGAUCAAAAAGUGGUUUGGGUGCUUAAUAUUAAUCGGCUUUAAUUGACACGCGGCGCCAUCAUAGCAUAUGUCUGGGUCUGGCUUUUCGAGGUGUUAGCAAACACGUUUUCAAAUGCCGCAAAAACAAAAAAAAAAAAGAUUACUUGUCGUUACUUACGGCCAAGUGCCGGAGCGUCGGCGACGCGUGGUGCUCGUAAAAUAGCUGCUAUCAUCAUCCAAUCUGUCCAGAGUUUUAUUUUGAUGGUCUUUGGCUGCGUUUUCCUUAACCCUGCUGGCUGCCGCACUUGUAUUAUUGGCAUCGUAUACCUUGUAAUAGCUGCCGCUUUUGGACACGCGCUGACGAUGCUGGUUGCCGCUCUGGCGGAUCAGCAGUUCGUUGUAGUGGGUCAACUGUUGCUGCUGACUGCUCCCAUGGGCACCGCACCAAGCGAGUCCAUAGUGCCAACGCUCUUCCAGGCGAUUCUGGUGCAGAGUGGCCAAAUCAAUAUCCGAACGACAGGCCAUGGAUCAGUGGCAAUUGGUUAACUUCGCAAGCGAUGAAAGUUACAAAUCAAUGCCCACAGAUUUUAAUACGAAUUGUUUCGAUUUUUAGCACAUUGUAACAUCUAAUUCAGCUAGAAUGGUUAAUUAAGUAAGCUUAACAUUGACUUGGCAUUGUAAACUCCUAGCCCAGCGACUUGAGACGACCCUGAGCGCUGGCUUUUCGCUUAACAAAUUUGAGCAGUCUUAACCUUGCCCCCUUCUUCGAAAGGUGUUAAAACUUCGUUAACUCAAGCCAUAAAAACCACGCAUUUUAUGUUGAGUCAGUCAGACAGCGUGCCGAAUAUUCAAAUUGGCGAGGAAAUGUCAAGAAAUAUGAAUUAUAAAAGUUCGAAUGUUUAUUAAACGAAGGUAUAUCAUAUAUAAACAUUCGUUAUAUCUUGCUACUUGGCAACAGGUUUAUAGAACAAAAUAACAACAAUCGUUGACGCCAAGUUUGUUGUUGUUUUUGCUUACGUACCCAUCUCCGACCAGCUCCUAGUUCCGGCUGUGACGUCAACUAAUUGCCUUUGCAUUUGCAUUUCCAUAGAAAUUCCAAUAAGCACGCAAACUGAGCAGAAGGGAAAAAAGGAGCAGGCCAGAGAACUGCCUCAUUAGUCAGCAGCCUUAAUGGCUGUGUCAAAGGACGAACAGACAUGUCGUUAUGUGUAAUUAUUUGAGAUCCGUAUAAUACAACAACUACGUAAAUAUUGUAUCCACACGUCUUUGAUAUAUAUUGUUAUAACUUGGUCAACUGUGAAGGUUGGUUAACAUUUAGAAAAUAACCAAAUGAGUAGAAAAAAGUCGUUUUAUCAUGCCUGCGGCGUUUCUUUGGUGAAAGUUUUAAGAGUUCAGUCCCAUUAAAGUAUCAGGAAGUAAUUAACAGACGUUUGUCAAAUAAAAUGAUAAAUUACAAUUAUAAUAAAUACAUGUACAUAUAUACUUGUGCGAGCUUGUGAACAAAGAAAACACCCCAUUGUCACAAUAGACGAACGGAUUUUUGUAACGAUUUACUUAACAAAGAAACGUUUCGAAAACAAAACAAGUAAUCAAUUGUUAGCAAAAGGCAAUGUCAACAAAUAGACUAGACGAGCCCAAGACUCAAGUGGUUAUCAUAAGCUAGAUCGAGGCCUCGCCGAUUCUUACAUGCUAACGAUUAGCAAGGCUGGCACAUUUAAGCGUGUAAGCGGUCAAUGGGAAAUGCCAGGUCACGUUAAGCUGGAAAAGCAAUUUAACAAAAAAGUCAUCUAAUUACAUGUUAUAUAAGAUGGCGUAUUAAGCACACGAAACUUUAAGCCCGAGCUUCAAGCAAAGCCAACGACCGACAGAGAGUAUGAGAGAGUGAAUACGCGGCACAGAAAUACAACAACAUUGGUAAGGGUUCAAAGAGAGUUAGAGAGAUAGAGAGGCAAAGAGAGAGAAAUAGAGAGCACGCCGCGCACCGACCUCACCAAACACGACCGAGCUGUCCAGUGAACGAGCGAUAACUGAACUGAACUGAAACACCAAAAAGAUGAUUAAAUUGUAAAUCUUUGUGCGAUUUCAAUAUAAAAGUUUACGGCCGUUUCCAAGCGUCGCACAGCGCUGCCCAGCGAGCGAUCAGGUUGUAAACAACAGCUGAGCACUGUGAGCACGCAUCACGGAGACCGAGAGAGAGAGAGAGAGAGAGCGAGAGAGAGAAAGAGACUGAGCAAGCGAACAGGUGUUGGAAUCUGGUGGCAUGUAAAAAAAAAAAACGGUAAGCAUGUUAUGUAAACAACGGUGUAAUUGGCAGCGAGUCUUGCCUAAUUAUUAGUCAUGUUCAAUUCUCAUAAUCUUCCUCAGUCAAGCUAUAUGGUUGGCUAUUUCUUGAAUGGUGCUUCUCCAAAACGUGUGUUUACCAAGAAGUGCUGGUACUAAUUAAUUGGCUUCUUUAACAGUGUCUUUGCACAUAACAUGACAUGGAGAACAUACUGCACUUUGUUACUUACCACCACCAACGCAUUUCUAUAUCGCUUGCAGUGCCAUUGGACAUCAGGCCAGGCCCUGGUGCAGAUGAUGCGGAUCCAUUGUUGACAUGAUUUUGGCGUGUGGUGUUUACAUUCAGCAGCUGAUUUUCAUGUUCAUCAUAGAUGCUGCACUGGGAGUAGACCCUUGGUUUUGCUUCUUCAUUCGCACCUGGCACAGACUGUGCAGGUGUCGCCUUAGACGUUGGACUUGGGCAUUGGAUGUUAUAGGACGACAUGGUUAACAAUCACAAAUGGUUGCGGGCCAAACUUUUCUUUUGGGCGAUCAAGCGCGCAUACGAUAUAUUAUUAUUUAAGUGCGUUUUUAGCACGGCACUAUAUUUUCUGCAACUUUAAUGUAUUUGCGAACGUUCAAUUUAUCAACCAUGCUGUGAACUUUUUUUGCUGUUGUCGUACAAGCGUUUGCACCUGCCCGCGUAGCUGGAUGAAGCUUGUGGCCGAAUCUUAUUUGCGAAUAUUCGCAUUAAUGCAGCAGUAGUAAUUAGCAAAGUUUCAUUGGUGCAGUUUCAGUUAUUUAUUUAUAAACUGAAGUCCAUUGUAUAUGCUCGAGUUAAUCGAAUCAUUUCGAAUAAGUUCGAUUAACUGGCUCACGAAUGAACCAACUAAUUCCGAUUAAGGCAUAACAUUCGCUGCACUGGUUGUAACAGAAAAAGCUGUUAUCUUUCUUUGUAUAACAAGACUAAGAAAAGUCCGAGCAAUCAGCGUAUUGGUAAAAACAAUCGGUUAUUAAGUCGUCAGCUAUUGAAGAGCAGCGAAAUAAAUUGAUGCUCUUAAGCUGUUGUAAAUAACUAUUUAACAUAUUGACAAGUAUCCCUUGUUUUUUUAACAUAAAAGCGAUUAUUCACAAUUGCUGUUUUUAGAUCGACAACUAUAGCUUUUACUAAUAUUACUUCAACUAAUAAGACGGACAUAUUCGAUAUGCUAAGGUUCGAUUAUUAGUAUCCCCUUUCAACAUUUUGAAAGGCGCUUUCAGGGGCUAUUUGAUAUAUCGAUAGUUCAUGUUAUAAAUUGAAUGCAGCCUGCGCGCAAUAACUGGACUGCUACAACACUCAUUUCAGUUAUUUUUUGAAUAAACUUAUAUUUGUUGCUUACCGAAACUGAUUUCGCUUGUCGAGCAAACUACCCACUAGUGUAUUUUUCAUUGUUUCUGUGGUCCUGCGAGGUGACGUUGCUGCUUCAUCUUUAAGAAUUUGUCUCGCUCGCUCCAUGUCUCGUACAUUCAUUGCUAAACUUUACUUUAAUUAACGAUAAAUACAAUUAACUUAUACAUUCACGCACAAACACGCAACCGUACUCUGGCACCGUUCGAAGUCUACUAUUGCAUACACCUAUAAUCCAAGAUUUUAUGCAUUUCAUAACUAGAUAAGCACGCACACCUGUCACGAUGCUUACGGACACAAGCACAGAAUCACACGAAUACGCAUUUUGAUAUUCAUUCGCACACCUUGAAUUUGUUAACAAAAAAGGCAAAAGCAAUAAACAUACAACAUGAAACAAUGGCAAAAAAAAUAAAAUAAAAUUAAAGCAUGUAACACGUCGCACAUCUCAUGUACGGCCUGAGGGCACAUUUUCUAAACUGGAAACGGCAAUAACGGCGUUACUUUCAGUUUCGUUUGCUAAGCAAAUAGCCUUCCAACGACGUUCGAUAAGCCUAAAUGAGUAUUAUCGGAACUGCGAAUAACUUGGGUAAGGCAGUGCAAAACAGUUUAAACCGAGGUGAGCAACAUGUAACCAACAAGUGGCCAUGCAUACAAGUAAUAAGUACUUAUAUACAAAUAUAUUUCAACUAAAACCUCUGUGGCCACCUGACCUACUUAAGUUUGUUGCCGGAGGCUGAGCCUUAGCGUAUUAACACCAACAGCUGGUAGAGAAAAACUAUUUUUUAAUUGCCUAUGCAACAUUGGUAAUAAAAUAUUCGAGUUACACAACUAAGACUAUCAAAAAAAAAUUACAAUAUGUUAAACUAUUACACGACACACAUACAUGCAGCGAUUGCAUAGUUUGACUACGGCGAGAGCUUUCAACGUGGCACACUUAUACAUAUAUCCCCAAUGGAGAAUUCUUAAACUUACGAACUAUACAUCAUACAUUUUUGUAUUUUCAAUCUCAUCGAACGUGUCUUCCGAUCCGGAUGCCGUUAAGUCGGAAAGUUCAUCAAGACACUUCUGACGCUUGCGUACAUUCCAGUGCAGACCAUCGGCCAGCGAGGCAAACCAGUCAGAUAUUUGAUCUUGGGCGCAAAUGCUGGGCACUGGAUAAAUUGAGGUUGUCACGCGCAGACUAUCACCGUGAAAGAGCUCCUGACGAUUUCGGCCAUCGAAGCUUACCCAGGAAGUGUUGCGACUCUCAGGUGAAACGGAAAUCUAUGGAGCACAUGCAUUAAGUUAUGUUUGGCAAUAGGUUUUAAGAGUACUUGCUUUCAAUUCAACACCUGCGGGCACCACAAUUGGUCGGAAACUUAGUGAAUGCGGGCAAAUCGGCGUCACCAUAAUAGCCGGCACAGAAGGAUGUAUCAUGGAAGCACCAGCAGCUACCGCAUACGCUGUGCUGCCCGUGGGCGAGGACACAAUUAAGCCAUCGCCCUGUACUGAUGUAAUGUACUUGCCAUCCAAAAACAGAUCAAUAUUGCUUAAAUAGGGCGAUGGGCCCCGAUCGAUGACCACCUCGUUCAGUACUAAUAUUGUAUCAGCCAAGGGGAACAUGGGUGCAUUCGCAUCCACAGCAUGGUUGACCUCGUGUCGUUUUUCGCUUCUUCGAUGCAUCACACAGCGCAGGCGACUGCGCAAUGUAAGCGCCGCAUGACCCUCAAGAACGCUGGUAAGUUGUUCUUGAAAAUUAUCAAAACGAAAAGGUGUCAAAAAGCCCAAAGAUCCUAAAUGGAAGGCCAUAACUGGCGGCACCGAUUGCUGAAACAGUAGAGAGGCAUAUAACAGAGUACCAUCACCACCAAGGCAGACAAUAAAAUCAAUUCUAUCGGUCAGAUCAUCCCGUCCAUCUCUGAGGUAGAAGAAGUAAAAUGGUUAUUAGUGUUGGCACAAAACAUUCUUGUCGCGAAUGGCUCGAAAUUGAACGUCCUCGUUGAGUAGAGCAUCGUCUAGUACUGCAGACUCCACCCAGACGACCAUAUUCUUCUCCUGCAGCAGCCAAAGGACCAGCUGCACAAACGGCGUCAACACAGAAGCAUCGCUUACUUUCUUAAUGACGAGAACAGUUAGUGGUGGCUUGUACCAGGUCAGCCGUUGACUGGCGGGAUCCUGGAUUUGCAUUACCACUGCUGAGUUUUUCAUGAUACGUCCACAUGGUCCAAACUGCUGAAAGGGUGACGGCGCGUUUAAGCUGCGUGUACGCCUAGAAAGAAUUAGUCAUUAAUUAAAAUCAAAUAAGAAUA